AUUGAACGCUGGCGGCAGGCUUAACACAUGCAAGUCGAGCGGGGGAAGGUAGCUUGCUACCGGACCUAGCGGCGGACGGGUGAGUAAUGCUUAGGAAUCUGCAUAUUAGUGGGGGACAACAUCUCGAAAGGGAUGCUAAUACCGCAUACGUUCUACGGGAGAAAGCAGGGGAUCUUCGGACCUCGCGCUAAUAGAUGGGCCUAAGUCGGAUUAGCUAGUUGGUGGGGUAAAGGCCUACCAAGGCGACGAUCUGUAGCGGGUCUGAGAGGAUGGUCCGCCACACUGGGACUGAGACACGGCCCAGACUCCUACGGGAGGCAGCAGUGGGGAAUAUUGGACAAUGGGGGGAACCCUGAUCCAGCCAUGCCGCGUGUGUGAAGAAGGCCUUAUGGUUGUAAAGCACUUUAAGCGAGGAGGAGGCUACUCUAGUUAAUACCUAGGGAUAGUGGACGUUACUCGCAGAAUAAGCACCGGCUAACUCUGUGCCAGCCGCCGCCGUAA
rnacentral:rRNA from 1 species